CCUUGACAGCGUAAGCUGACAAUAGCCAAGACAAGGAGAAUAACAUG
rnacentral:sRNA from 12 species